ACUUUUCCUUUGUUCUUUUACUGAGUGGACAAAAAAAAUCUGUUCUUAUUAGUUUAAUAUCUGAUACGUCCCCUAUCUGGGGACCAUAUAUUAAAUGGAUUUUUGGAACAGGGAGAUGGAAGAAGAGCUUGCUCUGUCCACUCCACACAUCGACCUGGUAUUGCAGUACCUCCAGGACCGGUGCACUUCUC
rnacentral:snRNA from 1 species